rnacentral:snoRNA from 1 species
CCCAUCAAUGAUGAUGAGCUCAUCUCCUACAUCACCUCCGUCCUCGACAUGGAGUACCAACCUCUUGUCUCCACCAACGACGCCCGCACCGAGCCCAUCAGCAUCGACAACCUCUACGCCUAGAUGAGCAACUUCGAUC